rnacentral:lncRNA from 1 species
GGUUGUUCACUCGGCAGCAUAACACAUGCAUGUGCAUAGCUCAGCACGCAGCAAUGCCGCCACGAUGGAGCUCGGUGUGCACGGCACCGGCGCCGUGAAUAGGCCAGCGGCAGCGAGUAGGAUUCAAGAAUAUUUGAAGACUUAUACAGAAACUAAACUAAAACUAAUACGAAGAAAGUCCUCACCUAAUCCCGUCAAUGAUCCCUACAGCUUUAGAUGGAAACAGGAGGACGAUCGCGGCACAGCAGGAGGAUUCAAGACGUAUGCUUCAUGGGCACCAAAAGGAUGGCCUGAUCAGCAGCAGGAUGAUCACUUGAUCAGCAGAUCGGCAGCAGG